GAUGAACGCUGGCGGCGUGCCUAAUACAUGCAAGUCGAACGCGCAGCGAAAGGUGCUUGCACCCUUCAAGUGAGUGGCGAACGGGUGAGUAACACGUGGAUAACCUGCCUCAAGGCUGGGGAUAACAUUUGGAAACAGAUGCUAAUACCGAAUAAAACUUAGUAUCGCAUGAUACAAAGUUGAAAGGCGCUACGGCGUCACCUAGAGAUGGGUCCGCGGUGCAUUAGUUAGUUGGUGGGGUAAAGGCCUACCAAGACAAUGAUGCAUAGCCGAGUUGAGAGACUGAUCGGCCACAUUGGGACUGAGACACGGCCCAAACUCCUACGGGAGGCUGCAGUAGGGAAUCUUCCACAAUGGGCGAAAGCCUGAUGGAGCAACGCCGCGUGUGUGAUGAAGGCUUUAGGGUCGUAAAGCACUGUUGUAUGGGAAGAAAUGCUAGAAUAGGGAAUGAUUCUAGUUCGACGGUACCAUACCAGAAAGGGACGGCUAAAUAC
rnacentral:rRNA from 1 species